GCCAAGAAUUAAACCUGGGCAGCCUGGCUCUAGCCUCUCCAUGCUCAUAACAUCUUUUUUUUUUUUUUAACUAAUAAAAAAAUUGUAAUUUACUUAGAAGCAUUCAGAAUGCCAACAAAACAGCUGCAACUUUUUUUUUUUUUUUGCAAUUACAGAGUGGUAUUCAGUUAACAGAACAAUUGUUUCAUAUAAGCUGCAUCAGAGACAAUUGAAAAUGAAAAAACUACCAACCCCAUAUAUAACUUACAUGUGCUGUGCACCAAUAAGAACCUGCUUAAAAUUUUUAUGCCAAUUUACAACCCCCAUCCUGUACCAGGCAAGGUUAGUGGCUAUGAAAAUACCACCAGGACAGGGCUAUCUAAAGACACUUUUGGUAGUGUGUUAACUAUACAAAAGAAGACACCAUACAGUUUAAAAAAAUUCUUACACAGCCUUACAUUUCAAUUUUUUUCUUUAAAAGGA
rnacentral:lncRNA from 10 species